rnacentral:snoRNA from 1 species
GCUCUGUGAUGAACCCCAUGCGUGUCAGCUGAGCCUGGCUCCCCUGUCAUCUCAGCCCAGGCAGUGUUCUACUUCCCAGGGCUGUUUGGCCUGGCAAGGGGGGGUCCCAGGCAAAGGAUCAGUCUUUAUAUUCUGAGAGC